rnacentral:rRNA from 1 species
AUUGAACGCUGGCGGCAGGCCUAACACAUGCAAGUCGAGCGAGCGGCGGACGGGUGAGUAAUGCCUGGGUAUUGCCCAGUCUAGGGGGAUAACAGUUGGACACGACUGCUAAUACCGCAUACGACUCGAUUCCCCCGGUGGGAUUAGCUAGUUGGUGAGGUAAUGGCUCACCAAGGCGACGAUCCCUAGCUGGUCUGAGAGGUUGAUCAGCAACAAGGGAAAUAGGACACGGUCCAGACGCAGACGGGAGGAAGCAGAGGGGAAUAUUGGACAAUGGGGGAAAUCCUGAUGAAGACAUGCAGAGUGUGUGAAGAAGGCCUUCGGGUUGUAAAGCACUUUAAGCGAGGAGGCGUUACUCGCAGAAGAAGCACCGGCUAACUCCGUGCCAGCAGCCGCGGUAAUUC